UACGGAGGGCGCAAGCGUUGUUCGGAAUUACUGGGCGUAAAGCGCGUGCAGGUGGCUUGGAAAGUCGGGUGUGAAAUCCCGUAGCUCAACUCCGGAACUGCAUCCGAUACUGCCAAGCUCGAGUCUCGGAGAGGAUGGCGGAAUUUCCGGUGUAGAGGUGAAAUUCGUAGAUAUCGGAAGGAACACCAGUGGCGAAGGCGGCCGUCUGGACGUUGACUGCCACUGAGACGCGAAAGCGUUGGGAGCAAACAGG
rnacentral:rRNA from 1 species